rnacentral:rRNA from 1 species
GAUGAACGCUGGCGGCGUGCCUAACACAUGCAAGUCGAACGGAAAGACGAUGAGCUUGCGCCUUUGACGUUAGCGGAGGGCGGGUGAGUAACGCGUGUAUCACCUCCUUGUAUUUCGGGGAUCAUUACGGAACACCGGCUAUAAUACCAUAUAAUAUAUUGCACCGCGUGGGGCAAUGGAGAGUGUCGGCUUUGGGGUAUGUAAUAGCUGCUUCCGGGCCGGAUGGGCUGGUUGGUAGGGUAACGGCCUACCAAGGGUAGGAGGCGUAGCCGAGCUGAGAGGGUGAUCGGCCACACUGGAACUGAGACACGGUCCAGACUCCUACGGUAGGCAGCAGUAGGGAAUCUUGCGCAAUGGGCGAAAGCCUGACGCAGCAACGCCGCGUGAGUGAUGAAGGCCUUCGGAUCGUAAAGCCCUGUUAUUGGGGAAGAACAGAUGUGGAAUGAUACGUAGCCGUAUUGACGGUACCUAAUCAAGAAGCACCGGCUAACUACGUG